rnacentral:piRNA from 1 species
AUGAACUUGACUUUGAUG